ACGAACCGUGCGAACGUUAUUCGGAAUCACUGGGCUUAAAGCGCGUGUAGGCGGGACGGCACGUCGGUAGCUGAAAUCCCCCGGCUCAACCGGGGAACGGGCGCCGAUACGACCGCCCUCGAGGGACGUAGGGGGACCUGGAACUUCCGGUGGAGCGGUGAAAUGCGUUGAGAUCGGAAGGAACAUCAGUGGCGAAAGCGACUUCCUGGACCAGUACCGACGUUCAGGCACGAAAGCGUGGGGAGCAAACAGGA
rnacentral:rRNA from 1 species